CCUACGGGAGGCAGCAGUGAGGAAUAGUGGUCAAUGGCCGGAAGGCUGAACCAGCCAUGCCGCGUGAAGGGCAGGGCCCUAGGGGCGUUAAACUUCUUGUGUGCGGGAGCAAGAAUGGUCACGUGUGGCCAGACGAGAGUACCGUACGAAUAAGCAUCGGCUAACUCCGUGCCAGCAGUCGCGGGAAUACGGGGGAUGCAAGCGUUAGCCGGAUUUCGUGGGGGUAAAGGGGGCGUAGGCGGUGAGGUAAGUCAGCGGUGAAAUGCCCCCGCUCAACGGGGUGAAGUGCCAUUGAUACUGCCUUGCUGGACUGCGGCUGCCGUGGGAGGAAUGUGUGGUGUAGCGGU
rnacentral:rRNA from 1 species